AUUGAACGCUGGCGGCAGGCUUAGCACAUGCAAGUCGAGCGGAGAUGAGGUGCUUGCACCUUAUCUUAGCGGCGGACGGGUGACUAAUGCUUAGGAAUCUGCCUAUUAGUGGGGGACAACAUUCCGAAAGGAAUGCUAAUACCGCAUACGUCCUAAGGAGAAAGCAGGGGAUCUUCGGACCUUGCGCUAAUAGAUGAGCCUAAGUCGGAUUAGGUAGUUGGUGGGGUAAAGGCCUACCAAGGCGACGAUCUGUAGCGGGUCCGAGAGGAUGAUCCGCCACACUGGGACUGAGACACGGCCCAGACUCCUACGGGAGGCAGCAGUGGGGAAUAUUGGACAAUGGGGGGAACCCUGAUCCAGCCAUGCCGCGUGUGUGAAGAAGGCCUUAUGGUUGUAAAGCACUUUAAGCGAGGAGGAGGCUACUUUAGUUAAUACCUAGAGAUAGUGGACGUUACUCGCAGAAUAAGCACCGGCUAACUCUGUGCCAGCCGCCGCCGUAA
rnacentral:rRNA from 1 species